rnacentral:rRNA from 1 species
UGCCUAGUACGGCGAGUGAGCGGCAAAGCUCAAUUUGAAAUCUGGUACCUUCGGUGCCCGAGUUGUAAUUUGGAGAGGGCAACUUUGGGGCCGUUCCUUGUCUAUGUUCCUUGGAACAGGACGUCAUAGAGGGUGAGAAUCCCGUGUGGCGAGGAGUGCGGUUCUUUGUAAAGUGCCUUCGAAGAGUCGAGUUGUUUGGGAAU